ACUUUUCCACCCACCUGCCUCUGGGAGGGAGGAGCCGAGAAGCAGAGGACAGAAGCUCCCGGGCGGGGGUCAGGAGGAACCGCGAGAGGACUUGGCUGCCAGGAGAAGGCAAUUUCCUCAUUCUUGGAGAUGUUGUUGAGGAAGAGCAGGCGGCUGCACUUGCUCUGCACAGGACUCAGGCUCCCGGCCUUGGGGCUGAUGGAGAAGAUGCAAUUGUCCUGCACGCGCAUCUGGUGGAGCUCAGUGGGAUUCAACUCUGCUUGCUCUGCCCAGAGCUCCACGUCGAUCCGCUGGUCACUUGGAAAGAGGAAGGCCCUGGGAGAGGGGUGCAAAGCCAUACAAAGAAACUGGUCACGCAGAACAGAGAGGCAGGGGCUCUGAGAUCCUGAUGGGCAGGUGGAGGCUUCUUCCAUGACUCCUGCACUUCAUGCCCCCAUUUGGCAAACUGUCCCAUGUGUGCCUGAGCAAAUGUGGCUGUUGUGGAUUCUCGUUUCAUAAUGGCCCCAAAACCCAGGAAUAGACUCUGGGCCAUGGUGACUCAAGAAGUGAAGAGUGGGGCCUCCACUGUGUAUACCAGGAGUCAAGGUGUUGCUUGAAUAUGGGGGCCCCUUUAAGCUGGCCAUGAACCCUUCUGUGACAAAGCUCUUAGGAAAGGGCCAUUUGGGACACCUAGGAAGGCUGGCAGCACCAACCAGCAGCCCCAGGGAGUGGGGUGUCCAGGCCAACUUGGACACAGGGUGGAGAACAGAUGCCCCAGCAGGGCUGGCACUCUUGAAACAGAAGCAAGGCUGUGCACAGAGUUAAUGCCCCGACAUGCCUAGGACUGCGGUAAAGUAGAUAAUGCACCUUAAGUAGCCGACAAAACUAGUGACAAAGGGUCCUGAGGUCACAAUCUGAAAGAAGAACCCAUUUCACUCUUGGAGAUGGCACAGAACUGGUUCCAGCUGCAAACUGGGUAGAGGAUACAACAGGGAGCAUCCAGAAAAGGAAAAGAAAGUGCGCAACAUACACCUGAGAGAAAGUGUGCAACGCACACCUGAGAGAAAGCAUGCAACACACACCUGAGGAGAAUGUGCACAACACACACCUGAGAGGAAGAGCACAAUGCAUAUCUGAGAGAAAGCACGCAACACACACCUGAGGAGAAUGCAUGCAACACACACCUGAAAGAAAGUGCACAAUGCACACCUGAGAGAAAGCACACAACACACACCUGAGGAGAAUGCAUGCAACACACAUCUGAGAGGAAGCACACAAUGCACACCUGAGAGAAAGCACACAACACACACCUGAGGAGAAUGCACACAACACAUACCUGAGAGAAAGCACACAAAGCACACCUGAGAGAAAAUGCACAACACACACCUGAGGAGAAUGCAGGCAACACACACCUGAGAGGAAGCGCACAACACACACCUGAGGACACCUCAGGACCUGAGGAGAAUGCACGCAACACACACCUGAGAGGAAGUGCGCAACACACACCUGAGGAGAAUGCGCGCAACACACACCUGAGAGAAAGCAUGCAACACACACCUGAGAGGAAGUGCGCAACACACACCUGAGGAGAAUGUGCACAACACACACCUGAAGAGAAUGCGUGCAACACACACCUGAGAGAAAGCACACAACACACACUUGAGGAGAAUGUGUGUGACACACACCUGAGAGAAAGCACGCAACACACACCUGAGAGAAAGUGCAACACGCACCUGAGAGAAAGUGCAACACGCACCUGAGAGAAAGUGCAACACGCACCUGAAAGAAAGUGCAACACGCACCUGGAAGCCUCAGUGGGAGUCAGGGAGGCCUAAGUCCAAACUCUCAGAAGGAACCAGUCUUAAAUUUUUUCACAUCUGAAGCAUGAAAAAUAGUAACAUUCAACACUGGCAGGUUUAGAAAGAACAGACUCAAACAGAGGUGGAUGGAGAGGGAACUGCUCAACCUCUUGGAUGGAAUUUUGGCAGCAUAUGCCCUUUGACCCAGAAGUCUCUGUUUGGGAAACCAAUUUGUCGGAAUAAAAGCACAUAUGUGUGCAUGCAUAUGUGCACGCAACGC
rnacentral:antisense_RNA from 1 species